AGACGUAGGGGGCGAGCGUUGUCCGGAAUUACUGGGCGUAAAGAGCACGUAGGCGGGAACCUAAGUCAGGUGUGAAAGACCGUGGCUCAACCACGGGGUGGCAUUUGAAACUGGGCUUCUUGAGGGCAGGAGAGGAAAGCAGAAUUCCUGGUGUAGCGGUGAAAUGCGUAGAAAUCAGGAGGAAUACCAGUGGCGAAGGCGGCUUUCUGGACUGUAACUGACGCUGAGGCACGAAAGCGUGGGGAGCAAACAGGAUUAGAUACCCUGGUAGUCCACGCUGUAAACGAUGAGUGUUAGGUGUAGGGGGCUUGAAGCUUUCUGUGCCGCAGUAAACGCAAUAAACACUCCGCCUGGGGAGUACGGUCGCAAGACUAAA
rnacentral:rRNA from 1 species